rnacentral:rRNA from 1 species
GACGAACGCUGGCGGCGUGCCUAAUACAUGCAAGUCGAACGCUUCUUUCCUCCCGAGUGCUUGCACUCAAUUGGAAAGAGGAGUGGCGGACGGGUGAGUAACACGUGGGUAACCUACCCAUCAGAGGGGGAUAACACUUGGAAACAGGUGCUAAUACCGCAUAACAGUUUAUGCCGCAUGGCAUAAGAGUGAAAGGCGCUUUCGGGUGUCGCUGAUGGAUGGACCCGCGGUGCAUAAGCUAGUUGGUGAGGUAACGGCUCACCAAGGACACGAUGCAUAGCCGACCUGAGAGGGUGAUCGGCCACACUGGGACUGAGACACGGCACAGACUCCUACGGGAGGCAGCAGUAGGGAAUCUUCGGCAAUGGACGAAAGUCUGACCGAGCAACGCCGCGUGAGUGAAGAAGGUUUUCGGAUCGUAAAACUCUGUUGUUAGAGAAGAACAAGGACGUUAGUAACUGAACGUCCCCUGACGGUAUCUAACCAGAAAGCCACGGCUAACUACGUG